rnacentral:lncRNA from 1 species
GUUGAGAUGAGGAGAUGAGGAGUGGAUACAUUGAUAGAGGAAGAGUAUUGGGUUAGUCAGUAACUUUGGGAUUUACCACAGUAACUUUAGUUUUACUGUGGUAACUAAAGUGAGAAGAAGAGAAGUUACCCGGAUGGGUUAAAUUGGAGUCUAACUGAGGUUAAUCCUUUCUUAUCCUAAGUGAGACGUUGGAGGAGGAUAAGGAAGGAUAAGGGAGCACUUUGACAGCCUGUAUGAUGCUG